rnacentral:rRNA from 1 species
CCUACGGGUGGCAGCAGUAGGCAAUUUUGCGCAAUGGGCGAAAGCCUGACGCAGCAACGCCGCGUGAUCGAGACGCCCUUCGGGGUGUAAAGAUCUGUCAGUGGGGACGAAACUUGACGGUACCCACAGAGGAAGCACCGGCUAAAUCCGUGCCAGCAGCCGCGGUAAUACGGGGGGGGCAAGCGUUGUCCGGAAUCAUUGGGCGGAAAGAGUUCGUAGGCGGCACGUAAAGGCUGGUGUUAAAGGCAGAGGGUCAACUUCUGUACGGCACUGGAUACUUGCGAGCUAGAAGGCGGUAGAGGUAAAGGGCAUUCCGGGUGUAGGGGGGAAAUGCUUAGAUAUCAGGAGGAACCUCGGGGGCGUAAGCGCUUUACUGGGCCGUAAUUGACGCUGAGGAACGAAAGCCAGGGUAGCAAAUGGGAUUAGAUACCCUUGUAGUC